GAUGCCAAAGUGAUUAAACUGAUAUUCAAACUCUUUGGAUAGCAUCACCCACCACUGAAAUGCAGCCAUCUCUGGGGUGAGAUAUUGCAGCUGUUUAACAGCACUCAACAGCGCUGCAGAACAGCUUUGGACAUGAAGAAUUCUGAUGAAAACAGGCACUUUUAAGUAGGCAAAAUAAUUAUCCAAACUGGUGUUUGGCCAGGGCGUUAGUGCUCACGUGUCCGUGCUUGGAAAAUUAUAUUGGACCCUUAAUAUCCAUAAUUAGUCAGGACCUGGGGUCAGCUGUUCCUAUCAGAGAGGGCAUUGCCCAGGUGAAGCCUAGCACUGAUCAGGAGGGAUUUUGGGAAGCUUAUUUGGAGUCUUUUGGAUUUUUCCUGACUGUGUGGAUAUCAAAGAUCCACUCUUGUGAAGCCUUCUUUGUGCAGAAGAAUUCCACUCUGGUGUCUGUACAGGCUUGGAGGCUCUAAGUGGAUCUAAGCUGCCUGUCAGAUAACUUUGAUUAGGAAAAUGGAUCUUGGAACAUUUUAUCUGACUUUCACUGCACUUCAGAAGUGUGUGGGACAGCAGAUGAACUCAUGUUAAGUACCUGAAGAUAAUUGUCAAUAUCUUUGCUCUGUGGCCACCUCAGCUCUCACAAUUUUCAGGAGAUGGUGGUUGUGAUGUACUUACCCAUCACAUAACCUUCUCAUCCUGGGCUGGCUGUUUUUAUUUCAGUUGGUGAUUCCAAGCUGGGCAAAUGUUUCGGGAAAUAUUUCCUCCACAGAGUUUUGCUAAAAGUGUUGCUGCCAUGAGAUUUCCAUCACACUCCCGCUGCUCGUGAGUUGAAAGGACAGCACUGGAAAUGUGAGCUGUCAAUCUGGGUGUAACAAUACAUUUAGCUCGAGCACAUCAUCCACGUUGAAAGAAAACACUUGUCAAAGUUACAAACAAGCAGCUCCUGGGUAAGUCAUCCUCCUCCACCACAGCUUCUGUGCUCGGGUGUGCCAAGAGUUCCUCCUCACCCACAGCUGCCAACCACAGUGUAUUUUUGCACUGCUCUUCUGUUUAUCAUCUCCAGCUCUUGUUGAUGUGCAAUCACAUCCAAGCACAUGUCCCAGGACUGCUCUGUCUUGUUAUCCAGUUGUCAGGGAUGAUCAGGAUAUCCUGCCUCUGGAUUGCUUCGAUUCACGUGCGGCAAACCUCGAGCUGAGCUUUGUCUGGAGAUGUCUUGUGGAGGAGCGUUGUGGAAUCAUCACUCCUCAUCAGAUGGACACAUUCCCCUUCACCUAUUUGGAAUUUUUCCAAUUCCUUUUCUAACUUCUUGGUUUUAACAUCUUUCUGAACAGACUCCAGACCACAUAAACCUGACAUCCCCUCUGUGCUGGAGGGAUUUUGUAGGAAAAAGAGAUUUCACUGGUGGAUUCUGCAGACUGUGUCCCUGCUUGGCUUUGUAGAGCAUCUGCCAUAAUUCACUCCAGGAUGACUAAACUAUUGUAAUAAAAUAAUAAGUACCUUCUACAGAUGAAUAUUAAUCUGGAAUUCAACUAUCAAUAUCACACUGUGGAGAAGAUUAUUCCCAAUGAGCUGAGACAUUAUGUGUUGGGUUCCAGUGAGAGGUGAAUGGAUCCAGCACAACUAAAGGUUCACUGAUGGAGGACCUGAUGGGGCAGAGGUGGAUGGAGGGACCUGCCUGUGGAACAGAAUCUGCUCCUUCUGGAGGUGCUCUAAUCUUACAUUUAAAUCAGCCAGGAAACAUCAUCCCAAGGCUGAGGUGAGCCCAAGGAUGAAGCAUGAACUGAAAUCCCAGCACACCUACAACUCAGAUUUAUUCUUAUGCAGGUUGAGUGAUCGUUCACCUACACCAAUUUUAUUUCUGGAUGUACUCACAGGGAUGUGUUUGAGCCAAAAGGCAGCGUAGGCACAAAAAGUGUGGAACAGAUUUAAACAGAUCGCAAACAAAGUAGAAAUCUUUUAGCCAUUUGAAAGAUGAUGGUCUCAAAUACAAAAACAUGGCUCUAAGGUGAACAAGGAGCAGUUUGGGAAUACAAUUAUAAACUGAAUUUGAUAGAGUGAUGGAUUUUAUGUCCCAGGAGAUCCCUUUUGGUUUUUUUGCCUAUGAAAAUUGUAAUAGAUAAGUGUAGUAGCUAUCUGAUAUGC